CAGCAGCCGCGGUAAUACGGAGGAUCCGAGCGUUAUCCGGAUUCAUUGGGUUUAAAGGGUGCGUAGGCGGUUUUAAGUCAGCGGUGAAAGUGGGCAGCUCAACUGUAAAAGUGCCUUCGAAACUGUCGGACUUGAGUGUAGAUGAAGUAGGCGGAAUUUGUGGUGUAGCGGUGAAAUGCAUAGAUAUCACAAAGAACACCGAUUGCGAAGGCAGCUUACUAAACUUAACUGACGCUGAUGCACGAAAGCGUGGGGAUCAAACAGGAUUAGAUACCCUGGUAGUCCACGCAGUAAACGAUGAAUACUAGCUGUUUGGGA
rnacentral:rRNA from 1 species